UUCCUGACCUGCAAUCUAUUCCUGAAGAUGGGAAACUGUUUGCAAAGAGCAGCAUAAACCCAACCCAAAAAGGGCUUCAAAUGUGUUCUUUUUUCUGAAACAGUUCUUGCCCAAUCACAAAACUUGAACCUUUUUUUUAGAUUUAGGAACAAAACUUGAACUUGGUGUCCAUUCUUCCUUGGCACAUGCAGAUUGGACCGCAGAUUGUGAGAUCCAAUCCAAUCCAAUCCAACAACCGAAUCCAAUCCAAUCCAAUCAGAGAAAAAGAAAGACGGCGAAAGGCUCGUGUCUGUGUGGCACCACAUCUUGCCAUCAGGGAAAAUGGGGCUGUCAAUCUCGUACCCACCGGACGACUACCUGCCAGCAGUGGAGGACGACAUGGGGCGGCUGUUCAUCCGGUCUCUCAGCUUCGACGACAUGGAGGCCGCCGCCGAUUCGCCUUCGUAUUCGCCUUCGGCAUUGCCCCCCGCCUUUGGCUCCAGGAAGCUGAUCAUGGAGGGCUCCCUGGGCUUCUUCGAAAGAAGAGAAGCUGACAGCGUCCAGAUGCAGAACGUGUUGUCCAUCAGGAAUCCUAAACCUCCUGAUAGAGAAGCCUGCAGCAGCGUCAGUCCCGGUGCUGCGACAACUACUUGUGGCUCAAGGAGAAGACGAUCUUUUUAAAGAUUUUCAUGUUCUUUAGCUUUUAUCCUCUACUAGGUCAUGAAAACUUGCAUAACUCCAUUGACGAAGCUAUCAUGUUGAAGGUAUUGAUCAAGAUCAUAUCAGAUAUGUACCACUUCCAUGCGCACCUGUGGUGGGAGAUCGAGAUCCAGUGUGGCCUCAACCACCCCAACGUUCCACGAUGAAGAACGAGUCGUCCUCAUCCUCGAGCACGCGGCCCUUGGCGAGAUCAAUAAGAUCCUUCACGCCACUGGCCGCUCAGUAAGGUUUUGUGUUUUCGAUUUUUUUGGACUUGUUAUGUAUUUCCUUGCACAUACAUUUAGAAAAACAUUAUAUAAGUAUUGCAAUCUACAAACCAUACCCCUCCAUGCGAGAAUCAUAUUCUUACACUGGGAAUUUCUUCUAUUAAUUUAAUCUAAUAUUUACAUGGGCAAAAUAUCACUUUCCAGUAUGGGCUUGUAGUAAACCUGACUUAGGGUGUAAAUAAAGGCUUGAAUAAGGACUAUUUUGGAAGUUCAGUGGCCAAAUUGACAUGGCUUUAUGGCCUCCAUAGCUCAUAAGCAAUGUUUACCCCUCCUAGGAAUUAGGAUAAGACAUGUAAUGCCUACAUUAUUGUCUUGGUUCAUAUUGCAUAACCAUCGGAGCAAUGAAAGCCUCACCCAUUUUUGGAUUGUCUAGAUUGGUUUGAUGCUGAAGAAGCUAUUUGAAGUGGGUGUAGUGAAGCGACGAGAUCUGUUUAUCACCUCUAAGUUGUGGUAUGCUCAAAUCUCUGGUGAUAUUCCAAUAUUUAUAUCUCAUGCAUCUCAUUUAGGAAAAACUCGUACGAAAAGCAGAUUUCAGGUGGAAUUUGGUCUUCAGUGCAUAUACACCUGCAAUUUGUUGUUUCUAUGUGAAUUUUUUGUUUGAGUCUGAACAUCAACAAUUUGUGGCGAUGUAUAGCUGUACCAUGCACUGUGGAGGUGUGUUGUUUCAAAUUUAUCUUAAAUUCCUAGGCAUGUUUUUCUAGGGGACUACCACAGUUCUCUUGAAAUUGUGGUAAGAAAACUAAUGACACUGAAACAUACAAUUUUCAGAUUUUUCAUGGGAGACUCACUGAAGCAGAUGCACACAGAUACUUUCAGUAGCUUAUCGACGGUGUUGAUUUUUGUCACAAGAAAAGGAGUCUACCAUUGAGACUUAAAGGAUGCUUAGUGGGUCAACUGUAGGGAUCUUUCCUUCUACAUACGACCUAUGGGACUCGCUUUUUGGUAAGUCAAUUAUCUGUUAAUUCUUCUAUUUCUGAAUCCUAAAGAAAAAU